GUUGCCGACUUGCACGCCACGGGUCACCGUUGGGUUCAAGGCGACUCCUGAGGACGGAUAUGGCUCAUCCCAGAGUACCCCGAAGGAAGUGGGACCCCCCAUGGCCUUUGGAAGAGGUUCCAGAACUGCACGCGAGGUGGCGCCCCUGCUUCCCGGCCGCCUCGCUUCGUUGGCGACUGAUGCCUGGAUGCCGGCCACCCUCAGGUCAGUGCUGUGUUUGCAAUCUUGAAAGUCAGGACUCUUCACCCCCCGAGGUGCCACCCGGGGCGCACACACGUGUCACAUGCACUGUGCACACACACGCACACCCCGUGGCCUCUGGAGGAGCAAGGAGCGGGCAGGCAGUUCCUGCUCAUUUGCGCGAGCCCAGCGGGUCCACCGUGACCCCUGCCUGCCUCUUUCUGCAGUGGGGGGCCCAGGGCUCACCCCAGGAGGCUGGAAGCAGGACACCUUCCGCACAUAAGUUGAGUGACGCUUCCUUUGCAAGGAGCCAGCCAUCUCUGGGUAUCUGAAGU